rnacentral:rRNA from 1 species
AUUGAACGCUGGCGGCAUGCCUUACACAUGCAAGUCGAACGGUAGCGGGCCUUCGGGUGCCGACGAGUGGCGAACGGGUGAGUAAUGUAUCGGAACGUACCUUUCAGUGGGGGAUAACGUAGCGAAAGUUGCGCUAAUACCGCAUAUUCUGUGAGCAGGAAAGCAGGGGAUCGCAAGACCUUGCGCUGAUUGAGCGGCCGAUGUCAGAUUAGCUAGUUGGUGAGGUAAAGGCUCACCAAGGCGACGAUCUGUAGCGGGUCUGAGAGGAUGAUCCGCCACACUGGAACUGAGACACGGUCCAGACUCCUACGGGAGGCAGCAGUGGGGAAUUUUGGACAAUGGGGGCAACCCUGAUCCAGCCAUGCCGCGUGAGUGAAGAAGGCCUUCGGGUUGUAAAGCUCUUUCGGUCGGGAAGAAAUCGCAUGGGUUAAUACCCUGUGCGGAUGACGGUACCGGCAUAAGAAGCACCGGCUAACUACGUGCCAGCCGCCGCCGUAACAC